CCUACGGGUGGCAGCAGUGGGGAAUAUUGCACAAUGGGGGAAACCCUGAUGCAGCGACGCCGCGUGAGUGAAGAAGUAAUUCGUUAUGUAAAGCUCUAUCAGCAGGGAAGAAAAUUACGGUACCUGAGUAAGAAGCCCCGGCUAACUACGUCCCAGCAGCCGCGGUAAUACGUAGGGGGCAAGCGUUAUCCGGAUUUACUGGGUGGAAAGGGAGCGUAGACGGCAGUGCAAGUCUGGAGUGAAGGGCGGGGGCACAACCCCCGGACUGCUCUUGAAACUGUACGGCUGGAGUGCAGGAGAGGUAAGUGGAAUUCCGAGUGUAGCGGUGAAAUGCGUAGAUAUUCGGAGGAACACCAGUGGCGAAGGCGGCUUACUGGACUGUAACUGACGUUGAGGCUCGAAAGCGUGGGGAGCAAACAGGAUUAGAUACCCUAGUAGUC
rnacentral:rRNA from 1 species